AUUGAACGCUGGCGGCAGGCCUAACACAUGCAAGUCGAGCGGAUGACGGGAGCUUGCUCCUUGAUUCAGCGGCGGACGGGUGAGUAAUGCCUAGGAAUCUGCCUGGUAGUGGGGGACAACGUUUCGAAAGGAACGCUAAUACCGCAUACGUCCUACGGGAGAAAGCAGGGGACCUUCGGGCCUUGCGCUAUCAGAUGAGCCUAGGUCGGAUUAGCUAGUAGGUGGGGUAAUGGCCCACCUAGGCGACGGUCCGUAACUGGUCUGAGAGGAGGAUCAGUCACACUGGAACUGAGACACGGUCCAGACUCCUACGGGAGGCAGCAGUGGGGAAUAUUGGACAAUGGGCGAAAGCCUGAUCCAGCCAUGCCGCGUGUGUGAAGAAGGUCUUCGGAUUGUAAAGCACUUUAAGUUGGGAGGAAGGGCAGUAAGCUAAUACUCUGUGUGGAUGACGGUACCGGCAUAAGAAGCACCGGCUAACUACGUGCCAGCCGCCGUCGUAACAC
rnacentral:rRNA from 1 species